GAUGAACGCUGGCGGCGUGCCUAAUACAUGCAAGUCGAGCGAACAGACGAGGAGCUUGCUCCUCUGACGUUAGCGGCGGACGGGUGAGUAACACGUGGAUAACCCACCUAUAAGACUGGGAUAACUUCGGGAAACCGGAGCUAAUACCGGAUAAUAUAUUGAACCGCAUGGUUCAAUAGUGAAAGACGGUUUUGCUGUCACUUAUAGAUGGAUCCGCGCCGCAUUAGCUAGUUGGUAAGGUAACGGCUUACCAAGGCAACGAUGGGUAGCCGACCUGAGAGGGUGAUCGGCCACACUGGAACUGAGACGCGGUCCAGACUCCUACGGGAGGCAGCAGUAGGGAAUCUUCCGCAAUGGGCGAAAGCCUGACGGAGCAACGCCGCGUGAGUGAUGAAGGUCUUCGGAUCGUAAAACUCUGUUAUUAGGGAAGAACAAAUGUGUAAGUAACUAUGCACGUCUUGACGGUACCUAAUCAGAAAGCCCCGGCUAACUACGUG
rnacentral:rRNA from 1 species